AGCGCUCGCUGGCUGGCUGGCUAACGGAAAGGCUGGCUGGACUCGGGGAUCCAGCCACACUGCUGGCGGGCAGCAUGCUGUCCACCCUGCGGGUGCCUUUCUCAGACUAGGGCCCGCAUGAAUUCCGCCUCCCGGGAGAAGCUGACGUCGGCAUGCCUUCCAGGGGCAGCGGCUGCCCUCCAGGGUCUGGAACUUGGGGGUCAUGCUGCCUCCAACUCCUGACUCUGUGGCCCCAAGAGGAAGAGGAAGCUGGGUGGGAUCUUAGGGGCCAUGUGGACUAGGCAGCCCACUGGGGAGUGGGCACGUGAAAAGUACUUUGGGACACGGAGUUCCAAUCAAACAGAAGACUGGAACCUCAGCACCUCCAAAGCUCACGGACCCGCUGGUGAGGGCUGCCCGGACUGCUGAUUCCACUCAGCCACUCACCACCCGCCCUGUCUGCCAGGUGCCAUGUGCAAGGAUGCUGCAUUUUCUGCUAAUGGGGGUGGGGGAUGGCAGGAGACAUAAUGGGGUGGGGAGGGGUCAUUGCUAUUGUCGUCAUCACUCUUUGUCACCCCAAUGGCAUUCUAUACCUUCUUUUGCAUCUGAUCUCAAGGCAUCAAGAAUAUGAAAAACAGCUCUUCUGUCCCCAAAAGGGAGAUCUUACCUUAAGCAAUGGGAUUACCAUUAAGUACAAGACAUUUGACAUUAAACCAUUAAGCACAA